AUGCAUGUGGCAUCCAAUAAAGUUAGUGCAAUAGAUGUGCAAGUGCAAAAACAAAUCAAAAGCUUUUCAGUCUGUGUGAUUACUGCAAUGCAGCCGAAGGGACAGGGAAGGCACAGGACUUUCAAAACUAAGAAGGAUGGAUCUCUUUGGAAUUCCAUAUUCCACGCACAACAGCACCCUGUGGAAGGAGCAGAAGAGACUGACGGAGUCUGUUCUAGAGAAGAGAAAAGACUAGACCAGAAGAUCUUGUGGUCUUCCAUUUGUCCUUCAGUGGCCUUGCUAGGAACGUCAUUCCUUCUGCAAAUUCAUCCAUUACCACUCUUUCCUGCAAGCCCAAGUGGUGAAUUUCAGAACAUGAAGUGGAAAAUCAGGUUCUUCGUGAUCUGUCCUUUUUUUCCUCAUUCUGAUAUCCUGAUCAAGAAAUCAGAGAAAACAUCCCCAGGAGAUUAUGUUAUAAACACAAGCUAUGUACCGGUCUUUGAGAUUGACACAUGA
rnacentral:lncRNA from 1 species